rnacentral:rRNA from 1 species
GAUGAACGCUAGCUACAGGCUUAACACAUGCAAGUCGAGGGGUAACGAGAGGAAAGCUUGCUUUCCUUGUCGACGACCGGCGCACGGGUGAGUAACGCGUAUCCAACCUGCCCCCAACUAGGGAAUAACCUUGCGAAAGUAAGACUAAUACCCUAUAAUUUCCUCAGAUGUCAUCUGACGAGGAAUAAAGAUUUAUCGGUUGUGGAUGGGGAUGCGUCUGAUUAGCUUGUUGGCGGGGUAACGGCCCACCAAGGCAACGAUCAGUAGGGGUUCUUAGAGUGAGGUCCCCCACAUUGGAACGUAGACUCGGGCCAAACGCCUACGGGAGGCAGCAGUGAGGAAUAUUGGUCAAUGGGCGGAAGCCUGAACCAGCCAAGUAGCGUGCAGGAUGACGGCCCUAUGGGUUGUAAACUGCUUUUAUACAGGAAUAAAGUUAGCCACGUGUGGUUAUUUGUAGGUACUGUAUGAAUAAGGACCGGCUAAUUCCGUGCCAGCCGCCGCCGUAA